AUCGGCGAAGAGCGCUAGAUGGGUCUCC
rnacentral:sRNA from 1 species